GCCUCCGUAGCUCAGUGGAUAGAGCAGCGGCCUUCUAAUCCGUUUGUCACAGGUUCGAAUCCUGUCGGGGGCACCA
rnacentral:tRNA from 1 species